UAAUGGUGGCUAAGACACCAGUUUUAUAAAAACAGCCAGAAUGGGUAGACUUGCUGGAACUCUCCCGGGAUUUGUUUGUGUUCAGCACGGUGCGUGUGUGGUUGCUGUAGGCUGAGGUCCGACUGUUUCCAGCCUACUGCAUGUCUCCUCUCUGAAGGUUUAAGGGUAGCCAGGUGAUCACCCUUGGCACACGGAGUCUGUUGUGCGCCGUAUCCACCUGUUUUGAGAGGGUACCAUCGAGGGUCAUAGCUGUUCGCCGCUGUUUUGCCCAGAGUGAUUUUAGCAUUCUGUUUGUUGUUUUGGUUUUAUUUUGUCCGCCCGCCAUACUCUCUUUAUUUUGUUUCUGUAGCCUAAUUCAUGCUCGCAGGGCAGGUCCCAGUAGUAGAGAGCUCUAGUAUAUUAUUAGUAGCUUAGACGUGUGACGUGAAUGCUCACCUGUGUAGUGGGUAACCAUACUGAUUGAAUCAUUUGCUUAGCGUGGGUAGCCAUACUGAUUGAAUCACUGACUUAGCUAGUACGCCUAUGUGUGUGUAUGUACCGCGCGUGCUGUGUGCUAAAACAUAGGCCAUUUGUUUCUGAGCACGAGUGGUGAACAACACAUAGCUCUGUCCUUAACUGACAGCCUGCCCUGUUAGCUUGACCCUAGGCCUACCAUCAUUUAGGUCUAGGCUACCUGUAGACUAUUUGUCUGUUUUUUUAUUUUAUGUUGGCGG